rnacentral:rRNA from 1 species
AGUUUUGAGCUAAAUAUAUUUAUAAUAUUAGUUAUUUAUGAAGGUGUUGUAAAAUCUUUAUUUAAAAUUAUAUUUAGGGGUGACAGGCCUUUCAAAAACUAAGAUAUCUUGAAUCUAAUUAAAAGUAUGUAGUACAAUUAACACAACUAUUAAGUGAUUAGGCUUUAUAGAAUUAUUAACUUAUAAGAUUUUAUUUACUAUAAUUUAAUAAUUAAGUACAUAAAUAUAUUUAAUAUUCAUAUAUUAUAGUUUAUAAAAGAGUAAUUAGAUAGAUUUAAGUUCAUAUUUCUUAUAAUAAUGUUAAUAUUAGUAUUAAGUUUAUAUUUAUAUGAUGAACUCGGCAAAAAUACUUCUCAACUGUUUAUCAAAAACAUAACUAUGUGAAUGAAUACAUAGCGGUUUCUGCUCAA